rnacentral:rRNA from 1 species
UACGAAGGGGGCUAGCGUUGCUCGGAAUCACUGGGCGUAAAGGGUGCGUAGGCGGGUCUUUUAAGUCAGAAGGUGAAAUCCUGGAGCUCAACUCCAGAACUGCCUUUGAUACUGAGGAUCUUGAGUUCGGGAGAGGUGAGUGGAACUGGCGAGUGUAGAGGUGAAAUUCGUAGAUAUUCGCAAGAACACCAGUGGCGGAAGGCGGCUCACUGGCCCGAUACUGACGCUGAGGCACGAAAGCGUGGGGAGCAAACAGG